CUGCAUGGCUGCGUCAGCUCGUGUCGUGAGAUGUUGGGUUAAGUCCCGUAACGAGCGCAACCCUUGUCCUUAGUUACCAGCACGUUAUGGUGGGCACUCUAAGGAGACUGCCGGUGACAAACCGGAGGAAGGUGGGGAUGACGUCAAGUCAUCAUGGCCCUUACGGCCUGGGCUACACACGUGCUACAAUGGUCGGUACAAAGGGUUGCCAAGCCGCGAGGUGGAGCUAAUCCCAUAAAACCGAUCGUAGUCCGGAUCGCAGUCUGCAACUCGACUGCGUGAAGUCGGAAUCGCUAGUAAUCGUGAAUCAGAAUGUCACGGUGAAUACGUUCCCGGGCCUU
rnacentral:rRNA from 1 species